AGAGUUUGAUCAUGGCUCAGAACGAACGCUGGCGGCGCGCCUAACACAUGCAAGUCGCGGGAGAAACGUCCUUUGGGCCGAGUAAACCGGCGGACGGGUGAGUAACACGUGAGUAACAUGCCGUUGAGACGGGGAUAACGAUCCGAAAGGGUUGCUAAUACCGGAUAAAACGACUGAACCGGGAGGUUACAGUCGUCAAAGGUCAAAGCUACGCUCAACGAUUGGCUCGCGGCCCAUUAGGUAGAUGGUACGGUAAGGGCGUACCAUGCCGACGAUGGGUAGCUGGUCUGAGAGGAUGAUCAGCCACACUGGGACUGAGACACGGCCCAGACUCCUACGGGAGGCAGCAGUGGGGAAUCUUGUGCAAUGGGGGCAACCCUGACACAGCGACGCCGCGUGUGUGAAGAAGGCCUUCGGGUUGUAAAGCACUGUCAGGAGGGAAGAAACCCGGCGAGUCCGGCGUGACGGUACCUCCACAGGAAGCACCGGCCAACUCCGUGCCAGCAGCCGCGGUAAUACGGAGGGUGCAAGCGUUGUUCGGAAUCAUCGGGCGUAAAGCGUAGGUAGGCGGCCAGGCAAGUCUGAUGUGAAAGCCCAGAGCUCAACUCUGGAGGCGCAUUGGAAACUGUUUGGCUUGAGUCCGGGAAGGGCCAGUGGAAUUCGUGGUGUAGGGGUGAAAUCCGUAGAUAUCACGAAGAACACCGGCGGCGAAAGCGACUGGCUGGACCGGAACUGACGCUCAGCUACGAAAGCGU
rnacentral:rRNA from 1 species